UAUUAUGGCACAUUUAUGUAAUUUAAUUUAAAUGUCUUUUUAUCUUACUGAUAAAAAUAAUGAUGUAUAUUUACGUAAUUCAUGAGUUGUGAAUUGUGAUAUGAAUGAUGUGAUACUUGAAUACUUCGAUAGUUAGUAAUUGUACUUUUAUGUACUUAUAAAAAUGUUAUUUAUUUCAUUAACUAAUGCCUUUCAAAACGUUAAGUACUCUGACGCACGGUGUAAGUAAAUAUACGCAAAUCCUCCAGAGUUAUCGGCAAUCUCAGAUCACAUUAUUGGAAAUAUAAGAAUAAGUAAAAUGGCGUUCCCUAGUCAUAUGGUUUUUUUUAUUAUUAAUUUAAAAUUUUAAUUAAUUAGAUAUAAACAAAUAUUUAUAAUAAUAAGUAUGUAAGAAGCAUGUGCACAAACUGUUAUCUCUAAAACAUUUUACGUUUAUAUAAAAACAAUAAUACCUACAUAGGAGUUAUAACUUACAAAUGUACAAUCAUAUACACAUAUAAACACUUAACAUGUAUAAAUCCGUGUCCGGAUCUACAUACUAUAGUUGCAGCGUAAUACAAUCGAUAAUAAUAUGCAUUAAUUUGUCGUAAUAAAUGUUUGAUCAUCUGCUAAAUUUCUCAGCCUGUACACAUUGCACUUCUUUUCUUUUCUUUUUUUAUUUAUAGUUAUUACUUAUAAUAUUAUUAAUUAUUAUUAUUUAAUCACUUCUUGCCAUUUAUUUUUCCUGCAAUACUAAAUUAUAGUAUAUGAUUUGUAUUUUAAUGUUGUAGAAUUUAAUUGAACAACACGCUUAUGUUUAAAUUAUUUAAUAAUCUUGUAAACUGUAAGUUUUUAUUUAUUUUUUUAUGCUUUAAAUAAAAUAACAUUUUAAUUUCUA